CAUUGCCAGAAAACAGGAGGAAGAGCAGGUCUGGAGUAAGGGGCUGGGGGACUCAAGCGCCACUGUGAAGCUGAAGAGCGUCCUGGAGACAGGGGGCGGUGAGACGGAGUCUGCCCAGGCCACGCCAGUGGCCGGGGUUUGGACCUGGGCCUGGGGAGGGUCGCUGUUUGAGAGGAGGACGCAGCUUUAUAAAAUGACUCCGUUCCACAGCCACACACUCAAGUCUUUGCUGUCAGCCCUCCUCUCCCUUAGUCUGCACCUUCCCCUGAGCUCUGCCUCAGCCUCCUCCCGGGAGGAGCCACUGUCCAGACCCCUCUUCCUCCAACAUGCAGCUCGUCUAUCGUCAUCGCUCGGGUCCCAUGGGCUUGCCUCAGCUGUACCACUCACCUCAGGCCCCUCCUGGGCCGCCCUGCUGCCAGGGCUGCCUAUGAUCCCCUCCCUCACAGGCAGGAUCACUUCCCCAGCACCACCACACCCCUGCAACCCUGCAAUUUCCCAUUGUUCACAGGCAGCCUGGCCCUGUUCCAGACCAACUUCCCCAGUCCCAUAUAACCUCUCCAAGACCCUUCUUCUCCCUACUCAUUCCCCACGUGUUACAGCCAGGCAGGCCAUCCACCCCAAUGCUUUCCUAACUCCCGUGGUGAAAUGAACAGGGCCGGCCUACGAGGUCACUCCGCGAUUUGGGGCAGGAAAGAUCUGAGUUUCUUUCUGCACUCCCGUCGAGUCCUGCUGUAGAAACCACAAAUGGGGAAUGCUUUGCUUUUUCUCUACACAAACCACCUACUACAAUAACAACAAUUGCUUAUGCUGAAAAUCAGCCCAGUCUCAUAGCUCUGGAACCUCUCUUUGUCCCCUUCCAGAUAACCACAGGACACUUUAUUUUACACUUUUGUCAUAAUGAUUUUACACUCUCAUUUUU
rnacentral:lncRNA from 1 species